CGAGUCAGAUAAAUGGUCGCGCCUGUUAUAUUACACUAAGUAAUUGCCUGGCAAUUUUAGUGUAACGCAGGUGAGGAAAGUCCGGGCUUCAUAGGGCAGGAUGCCGGAUAACGUCCGGUGGAGGUAACUCUAAGGAAAGUGCAACAGAAAUAAACCGCUGCAACGCAGUAAGGGUGGAAAGGCGAGGUAAGAGCUCACCGCCUGUCUGGUAACAGAGAGGGCACAUGUAAACCCCAUCCGAAGCAAGACCGAGAAGAAGGCGUUACGGUUUGCCCGACCAGCUUUCAGGUGGGUCGCUAGAGCUUACUGGUGACAGUAAGUCGAGAUAGAUGAUCAUUCACGACAUAACCCGGCUUAUCGUCUGGCUCGAUAU
rnacentral:RNase_P_RNA from 1 species